ensembl:lncRNA
UGAGAGCGCAACAGGCGACAUGGACUAGUGAAUUAAGAGACUUUAAAUCUGUAAUGGUUAACGAAAUGCAUACGGUCAAUGCUAAAGUGGAUGGCCAGGGCUUAAUAUUGAAUAGGUUAAUCGCUGCUAACAUAGAGGUACACAAGCUUAGCACUGUAGAUUGGGCUGCUCUAGCUCGUUGUUUAAACGGUUUGAAAACGACAAUGAGUUGUUGAGUUGAUGUCUGCGCGGUGUGGUGUUUGGCUUUUGUUUUUUCCCACAGCUGUUAUGUACUGUUAGUUGUGUUUGGCUAUGUUUUUUCCCACAGUUGUUAUGUACUGUUAGUUUUGUUUUUGGCUAUGUUUUUUCCCACAGCUGUUAUGUUAUGUUGGCGUGUAUUUGGCGCUGUUUUUUCCCCCAGGUAGUGUGUAAUAUGGUAGUGUUUGGAUCUGUGUUUUCCUCCACAGAUUAUGUAAUAUUGUAGGGUAUUUGCUUCUAUGUUUUUGUCCACAGGUGUUAUGUGAUAUUGUAUUGGGUAGAUGUUUUUUUUUUCCUAGUUGUUAUGUGUUAUUGUAUCGUGGUUGGUUAUAUGAUUUUCCCCAUAUAAUAGUUUGUAUUGUAUAUUUGUCCAUGUUUUUCCCCAUUGUAACUGGGUAAUAAGGGUUUAUACUUUUUAAAUAUUCUGUCUGUUGUCUAUAUUAUUGGUUAAGUGCUAUUAGUAUCUUUAUUGGUAAUUAAUUGAGUGGUUCGUGACAUAAAUAUGUUGUCCACCAACAAACGUAAGCGUUGUGAUGAUCCAAACCAGGGUAACAUAAUUACCCUGAGCGAAGAUAUCCAUCAGUUGAAUAUAGUGCUUAACAACCAUUGGCCUGAUAAUCACACGCACCACAUAGCCCCAUAUGAUGGGCAUGCAACGGAUGAUGAAACUGCAGUGUAUAAUAAUAAUGUUGUACACGGGUACCUCAAUGAACAUAAUUCAGUUGAUGGUACUGGCGGUUCUGACGUUGGUCAUAGUUUAGAUAGACAUGCAGAUAUCCAUCAGUUGAAUGUAGUGCUUAACAACCAUUGGCCUGAUAACAACCUGCAUCACACAGACCCG